AGAGCGAACGCUGGCGGCAUGCUUAACACAUGCAAGUCGCACGAAGGUUUCGGCCUUAGUGGCGGACGGGUGAGUAACGCGUAGGAAUCUAUCCAUGGGUGGGGGAUAACUCUGGGAAACUGGAGCUAAUACCGCAUGAUACCUGAGGGUCAAAGGCGCAAGUCGCCUGUGGAGGAGCCUGCGUUCGAUUAGCUUGUUGGUGGGGUAAUGGCCUACCAAGGCGAUGAUCGAUAGCUGGUCUGAGAGGAUGAUCAGCCACACUGGGACUGAGACACGGCCCAGACUCCUACGGGAGGCAGCAGUGGGGAAUAUUGGACAAUGGGGGCAACCCUGAUCCAGCAAUGCCGCGUGUGUGAAGAAGGUUUUCGGAUUGUAAAGCACUUUCGGCGGGGACGAUGAUGACGGUACCCGCAGAAGAAGCCCCGGCUAACUUCGUGCCAGCAGCCGCGGUAAUACGAAGGGGGCUAGCGUUGCUCGGAAUGACUGGGCGUAAAGGGCGUGUAGGCGGUUUGUACAGUCAGAUGUGAAAUCCCCGGGCUUAACCUGGGAGCUGCAUUUGAUACGUGCAGACUAGAGUGUGAGAGAGGGUUGUGGAAUUCCCAGUGUAGAGGUGAAAUUCGUAGAUAUUGGGAAGAACACCGGUGGCGAAGGCGGCAACC
rnacentral:rRNA from 1 species